CGUGUGGUCUUACUGACAACGAACCAAAAUAAAGAAUCCAAAAAGAUGUUUAGUUAAAUUAGUUGAUUAUUUAUGGAAAGAGAAAGAGACAGAGUGGACGAGAACCUAAAACAGGUUGCACUUUCCAGCGAUCGUUCGAUUUUAUUAAGAGUAAGCCUUUAGUAAGAAGUCCCCAAGAUCGAAUUCUUCGGGAAGAAACGUAAAGGAAUGUCAAAAGAAGACAUCCACAGCAUCGAAAUCUCAGAGGAGCUAACAAAAGGAACCCCAUUCUUGAAUUCCUCGGAAGGCAAAGAAUAGAACCGAUCAGAGAAACCCAAUAUAGAAACAGUCCAGCGAAGAGGAUCAAUAUCAGGGGCUCCCAUCAGAAUCAAACGCAAAGAAAUUUUAUGUGCCUUCCAAAAAAGAGCUGUGAUCGUCGGAAAGGCUCUCUAAAACCUCUCAUAAGCUCUAUAAACCUAAUCUUCGGCUAUAUGGUACACUGACCCACUAAGGAGAUCCUAAGGAAUAGCAGACCCCCAGAACUCUUGGUAAUGUCAUUUCAGGGCAAUGGGUAGGGGGGACUGUGAGAACGUGGAACCCUUGCUUAUAGAAGAAGUGUGCAGAUUAUCAGACUGCGAAAGUGAGAAAUUGGAUGAAAAAGUAAUCCCUAAAGUCAAGACGGAAGAGAAUCCAGUAGAAGACGAUUCUUAUAGAGAGCAUUUCUUCGAAUGUGCCGUAAAAAAC